AUUGAACGCUGGCGGCAGGCCUAACACAUGCAAGUCGAGCGAGCGGCGGACGGGUGAGUAAUGUAUGGGGACUGCCCGAUAGAGGGGGAUAACUACUGGAAACGGUGGCUAAUACCGCAUACUAUCGGAUAACCCAUAUGGGAUUGGCUAGUAGGUGAGGAAAUGGCUCACCUAGGAGACGAUCCCUAGCGGGUCUGAGAGGAUGAUCAGCCACACUGGGACGGAGACACGGCCCAUACGCGUACGGAGGCAGCAGUGGGGAAUAUUGCACAAUGGGCGCAAGCCUGAUGCAGCCAUGCCGCGUGUAUGAAUAAGGCCCUAGGGUUGUAAAGUACUUUCAGUCGGGAGGCGUUACCGACAGAAGAAGCACCGGCUAACUCCGUGCCAGCAGCCGCGGUAAUUC
rnacentral:rRNA from 1 species